AGCAGCCGCGGUAAUUCCAGCUCCAAUAGCGUAUAUUAAAGUUGUUGCAGUUAAAAAGCUCGUAGUUGAAUUUCGGGGUUAGUAGGUUGGUCGUGCCACUGGUAUGUACUGGUUCUACUGAUCCCUCCUUCUUGUAGAACCGUAAUGCCAUUCACUUGGUGUUGCGGGGAAACAGGACUGUUACUUUGAAAAAAUUAGAGUGUUUAAAGUAGGCUAACGCUUGAAUACAUUAGCAUGGAAUAAUGAAAUAGGACGUUCGAUCCUAUUUUGUUGGUUUCUAGGAUUGACGUAAUGAUUAAUAGGGAUAGUUGGGGGCAUUAGUAUUCAAUUGUCAGAGGUGAAAUUCUUGGAUUUAUUGAAGACUGACUACUGCGAAAGCAUUUGCCAAGGAUGUUUUCAUUAAUCAAGAACGAAAGUUAGGGGAUCGAAGACGAUCAGAUACCGUCGUAGUCUUAACCAUAAACUAUGCCGACUAGGGAUCGGAUGAUGUUAAUUUUUAAUGUACUCUAUUCGGCGUCCU
rnacentral:rRNA from 1 species